AUGGUUUUUAACAUGCUGGAAAGUCUUCAAAUGUUUUGGUUGAAGGAGGCGCUCGGUGGCGAUGCACACUACUUUGAAACUGAAGUUGCUAUUUUCAGUUUUGGGCUUUACACUGAAGUUUGCUUUCCCAGGUCUUUUCUCUCUGUUUUUCUGUCUGCACCAUCUUUCCCUCUCUCUCGCUCUCUGUCUGUCUCUCUCUGUCUCUCGCUCUGUCUCUCUCGCUCUCUCUCUCGCUCUGUCUCUCGCUCUCUGUCUCUCUCGCUCUCUGUCUCUCGCUCUCUGUCUCUCGCUCUCUGUCUCUCGCUCUCUGUCUCUCUGUCUCUCUGUCUCUCUCUCUCUCUGUCUCUCGCUCUCUGUCUCUCGCUCUCUGUCUCUCGCUCUCUGUCUCUCUCGCUCUGUCUCUCGCUCUCUGUCUCUCGCUCUCUCUCUCUCUCUGUCUCUCGCUCUCUGUCUCUCGCUCUCUCUCUCUCUCUGUCUCUCGCUCUCUCUCGCUCUCUGUCUCUCGCUCUCUGUCUCUCGCUCUGUCUCUCGCUCUGUCUCUCGCUCUGUCUCUCUCUCUCUCUGUCUCUCGCUCUCUCUCUCUCGCUCUCUGUCUCUCGCUCUCUGUCUCUCUCUCGCUCUCUCUCUCGCUCUGUCUCUCGCUCUCUCUCUCGCUCUGUCUCUCGCUCUCUGUCUCUCGCUCUCUGUCUCUCGCUCUGUCUCUCGCUCUCUCUCUCUCGCUCUGUCUCUCGCUCUCUCUCUCUCUGUCUCUCGCUCUCUGUCUCUCGCUCUCUGUCUCUCGCUCUCUGUCUCUCGCUCUGUCUCUCGCUCUCUGUCUCUCGCUCUCUCUCUCUCUGUCUCUCGCUCUCUGUCUCUCGCUCUCUCUCUCGCUCUGUCUCUCGCUCUCUGUCUCUCUCUGUGCUUCUCUCACACACACUCCAGCCUUCAGCACGUAUUCAAGGUGCUUUUUGUUAUUACAGUGAAUCCAGUCGAUGUAUUUACUGGCUGCAUCUAAAAUCACUCCCUAUAUAA
rnacentral:lncRNA from 1 species